rnacentral:rRNA from 1 species
UUCCCCUCUUUGAAACACGGACCAAGGAGUUUUAACAGUGCCGCGAGUCCCUGGGACCGAUCUAAACCCAGAGGCGCAAUGUAAAACGUGGGGCCCGCCCGGUACGGCGGGGCCCCGCCCCAAAGGGAAGGACGGGUCGGGUCGCUCCUGACCGGGGGGGCCCGGCAAACCACUCCCGGGGGCGCCUUGGGCCCAGGCCGCAGGCGCACCCGGGGGGCACACGUUGGGACCCCGAAAAGAUGGUGAACUAUGCCCGGCCAGGACGAAGUCAGGGGAAACCCCGAUGGAGGUCCGCAGCGAUUCUGACGUGCAAAUCGAUCGUCAGAGCUGGGUAUAGGGGCGAAAGACUAAUCGAACCAUCUAGUAGCUGGUUCCCUCCGAAGUUUCCCUCAGGAUAGCUGGCGCCGAGUUGGAAAGGGACCAGUCUCAUCCGGUAAAGCGAAUGAUUAGAGGCCUUGGGGCCGAAACGACCUCAACCUAUUCUCAAACUUUAAAUGGGUGAGAUCUCCGGCUUGCUUGAACGAAAGCCGCGAGAAGAGAGCUUGCGCUCUCCUCUGAUGUCCUUUAAACCAAAGUCCCGU